AGUAUUUCUGACUGCUUGCAGGCGGGAAAUACUUCCUAUGAGAGGCACAAACAACCCUGAGUAUGUAGGACGAUAGUCCGGAAUACGAAGGGGGGUACGAUUUCGAGAGUGCGUAGCACGGAGAAAUCGUU
rnacentral:sRNA from 1 species